rnacentral:rRNA from 1 species
AGCGUUGUCCGGUUUAUUGGGCGUAAAGCGAGCGCAGGCGGUUUUUUAAGUCUGAUGUGAAAGCCUUCGGCUCAACCGAAGAAGUGCAUCGGAAACUGGGAAACUUGAGUGCAGAAGAGGACAGUGGAACUCCAUGUGUAGCGGUGAAAUGCGUAGAUAUAUGGAAGAACACCAGUGGCGAAGGCGGCUGUCUGGUCUGUAACUGACGCUGAGGCUCGAAAGUAUGGGUAGCAAACAGGAUUAGAUACCCUGGUAGUCCAUACCGUAAACGAUGAAUGCUAAGUGUUGGAGGGUUUCCGCCCUUCAGUGCUGCAGCUAACGCAUUAAGCAUUCCGCCUGGGGAGUACGGCCGCAAGGCUGAAACUCAAAGGAAUUGACGGGGGCCCGCACAAGCGGUGGAGCAUGUGGUUUAAUUCGAAGCUACGCGAAGAACCUUACCAGGUCUUGACAUACUAUGCAAAUCUAAGAGAUUAGACGUUCCCUUCGGGGACAUGGAUACAGGUGGUGCAUGGUUGUCGUCAGCUCGUGUCGUGAGAUGUUGGGUUAAGUCCCGCAACGAGCGCAACCCUUAUUAUCAGUUGCCAGCAUUAAGUUGGGCACUCUGGUGAGACUGCCGGUGACAAACCGGAGGAAGGUGGGGAUGACGUCAAAUCAUCAUGCCCCUUAUGACCUGGGCUACACACGUGCUACAAUGGAUGGUACAACGAGUUGCGAACUC